rnacentral:rRNA from 1 species
CCUACGAGUGGCAGCAGUGAGGAAUAUUGGUCAAUGGGCGCGAGCCUGAACCAGCCAAGUCGCGUGAAGGAUGACUGCCCUGCGUAUUGUAAACUUCUUUUAUAAGGGAAUAAAGUCUGGCACGUGUGCCUUUUUGCGUGUACUUUAUGAAUAAGCAUCGGCUAACUCCGUGCCAGCAGCCGCGGUAAUACGGAGGAUCCGAGCGUUAUCCGGAUUUAUUGGGUUUAAAGGGUGCGUAGGCGGAGUUUUAAGUCGGCGGUAAACGGUCGGGGCUCAACCCGGGCCGGCCGUUGAAACUGGGAGUCUCGAGUGGGCGAGAGGUAUGCGGAAUGCGCGGUGUAGCGGUGAAAUGCAUAGAUAUCACGCAGAACUCCGAUUGCGAAGGCAGCAUGCCGGCGCCAGACUGACGCUGAGGCACGAAAGCGUGGGGAUCGAACAGGAUUAGAUACCCGUGUAGUC